rnacentral:rRNA from 1 species
GACGAACGCUGGCGGCGUGCUUAAUACAUGCAAGUCGAGCGAGGUUACUGUUUCGGAUCCCUUCGGGGUGAAGAAGCUUUAACCUAGCGGCGGACGGGUGAGUAACGCGUGGGUAACCUACCCCAAAGUCCGGGAUAACAGCGGGAAACCGCUGCUAAUACCGGAUGCCUUUACCUUGGGGCAUCUUGAGGUAAAGAAAGGUAACGCUUUGGGAUGGGCCCGCGUCCCAUUAGCUAGUUGGUGAGGUAACGGCUCACCAAGGCGACGAUGGGUAGCCGGCCUGAGAGGGUGGACGGCCACACUGGGACUGAGACACGGCCCAGACUCCUACGGGAGGCAGCAGUAGGGAAUAUUGCGCAAUGGACGGAAGUCUGACGCAGCGACGCCGCGUGAGCGAUGAAGGUCUUCGGAUCGUAAGGCUCUGUCCUUGGGGAAGAAGGCGAAAGCUUGACGGUACCCAAGAAGAAAGCCCCGGCUAACUACGUGCCAGCAGCCCGCGGUAAUACGUAGGGGGCGAGCGUUGUCCGGAAUUACUGGGCGUAAAGGGUGCGUAGGCGGCCCUUUAAGUCGGAUGUGAAAGCCCGCGGCUUAACCGCGGAAUGGCAUUCGAAACUGGAGGGCUUGAGUGUCGGAGAGGGUAGUGGAAUUCCCAGUGUAGCGGUGAAAUGCGUAGAUAUUGGGAGGAACACCAGUGGCGAAGGCGACUACCUGGACGAUAACUGACGCUGAGGCACGAAAGCUAGGGGAGCAAACAGG